rnacentral:rRNA from 1 species
UACGGAGGGUGGCAAGCGUUGUCCGGAAUUAUUGGGCGUAAAGCGCGCGCAGGUGGUUUCUUAAGUCUGAUGUGAAAGCCCCCGGCUCAGCCGGGGAGGGUCAUUGGAAACUGGGAGACUUGAGUGCAGAAGAGGAUAGUGGAAUUCCAAGUGUAGCGGUGAAAUGCGUAGAGAUUUGGAGGAACACCAGUGGCGAAGGCGACUGUCUGGUCUGUAACUGACACUGAGGCGCGAAAGCGUGGGGAGCAAACAGG